AUGCCAUGCUGCGGCAGCGCGGGGCAGCCCGCGGCGCCCCGGCCCGGGCAGGGGGAGCACAGGGAGACCGGCUCCCCGUGGGGCGCGUGGCGGUGGGGGUGCCGGCGCUUUGGGCUGGGGGCUUUCCCAAGCCUCAGCCCCCCCCCCCCCCCGAGGGGACUCCUUCCAGCAGCAGCGGGGCUAGGACAGGGUCAGGGAGACCCCCGGUUCGGAGAGAGCCGUGAGCAGGGGUCCUGCCCAGGGGCAGGCAGAGGUACGCAGGACCCCUUUGUGUGUGCCAGCGGGGCGAGGGGGACACCAGGGACCCCGCGGGAGCGGGGGCGGUCGAGGGAAAGCCGGGCCCCCGUGCUGGGGGCAGUCGGGGCCCCAUGGCAGUACGAGCGGUCCCUCGGGGAGGGAGGGUCGGGGUGGGGGAUGCGUGCGCAGGGCUGGAGCCUGAGGGUCCCCGCACCAGCUGGGGCGGCUCGGCAGGGUCAUCCGCCACCCCAGCGGAUGGGGGACGGCCCCGUCCCCGUUGGGCUCCCUGCUUGCUCUUGCUGCUGCUGGCAGAGCUGCGCCAGGGCCCUGCGGCGCCCCUGGCCCAUGUGCCCRGCGUGGCGUGGGCUGCUCAGCGUCCCCAUGUUGCCACACGGUGCCGGGGCGGCUGGCAUCCAGCUGGCUGGGGCAGGGGGGCGAUGUGCUGAGCCAGCCCCAGCUGGGCCGGGGGUCUGCCCGCACGGAGGCCGGGCACGCAGCCCGGUCCCGGCACCGCUCGCAGCCCCGGCCCUGCCAGGGCAAGGCCGCRUGUCCCGGCCCCGGCUGCCCGGGGCACAGCCAGGCCCAGCGCCCAGGUGCGGGACUGGGCCGGUGCCUUGCCGGGGCCACACGGUGCUGACGUGGCAGCGUGCGGCCCGUGCCAGCGCUGCCCUGUGGCCCUGGGGGGGGCUCAUUUGGGAACUCGGGGCAGUGUGUCCCAGGCUCGCAAGGAGAGGGUGUCCCGCGUGCCCUCAUGGUCGCACCUGGCUUGGGCCCUGCAGUCCCCGUGCCAGCCCGGGCAGAGGCUGCCCAGGGGGCUGCAGAAACCCGGGCAUGCCCGAGGGGCUCAGCGUGGAGCACCGGCACCACGAUUCGGGCAGCAGCACUGUGCCCGCAUGGCAGCUCGGAUAG
rnacentral:lncRNA from 1 species